rnacentral:lncRNA from 1 species
UAGCAGGUGGCUUUAAAUCAUACAGCUCAAUGUGUAAGCCAUUUUGUGUGCAGGGUUUUGCCUUCAUUUGUAACUGCUGCUUUUUUGCACUUACACACUCACAUGUCUUUUCUUUGUGAAAACAUGGUUAAAAUCAUCAGCUAAUUUAAGGAAGUUUUUUUUUUUUUUUUCUUUCGUCUAAGUCUCUCUCUGUUAAGAGUUAAGAGAGAGAGACAGUACCAGUAAAAGAACCACUCCUGCUGACGCUCUCUGUAGAGUCAUUACACAUUUAACAUGAUGCUAAAUGGGUUGACAAACU